rnacentral:rRNA from 1 species
GCUCAGGAUGAACGCUGGCGGCGUGCUUAACACAUGCAAGUCGAGCGAAGCGCUUUGGAAAGAUUCUUCGGAUGAUUUCCUUUGUGACUGAGCGGCGGACGGGUGAGUAACGCGUGGGUAACCUGCCUCAUACAGGGGGAUAACAGUUAGAAAUGACUGCUAAUACCGCAUAAGACCACGGUACCGCAUGGUACAGUGGUAAAAACUCCGGUGGUAUGAGAUGGACCCGCGUCUGAUUAGGUAGUUGGUGGGGUAACGGCCUACCAAGCCGACGAUCAGUAGCCGACCUGAGAGGGUGACCGGCCACAUUGGGACUGAGACACGGCCCAGACUCCUACGGGAGGCAGCAGUA